rnacentral:lncRNA from 1 species
AUGGGCCCAAGGAUCCGCUAUGAGAUAAGGAUCACAUUGGCCAAGGAGAAUGAGAUGGCAGAAGCCACAUCCAGCGGUGGCCACGCGUGUGGGGAGGGAGCCCUUUCUCCAGGGUUUGCUGAGCCCCAGGAAACGGAGGAGCAGCAACGUCACGCCGAACUGGCCCGACCGGCUCCGCCACUGUCAGCACGAAAGGAAUUCCAAAACUGCACAGGGCUCCACGGGGUGGGAACCUGUGAGGUGUGCGGGCAGGCACUCACCUGCGACAGUGCGAACCCGGCAGCCGCGGAAGAAGCACCUCUGCAGGGGGGCUCCCAGGCCAGGCGAGCGGGGGGACAGGGCCCGGGCCCAGCCGAGGAGCAGCUCCCGCCCCGGGAUGGACUUCUAGCCAAAGGGACCGAGAUCCUCGCAUCGGAAUCCCCGGCCAACAGCUUUUGCAAAUUGGGUGGGAUUUCUCAGGCGUCCAGCAAAAGGGAGUUGCCCCCCGAAAGGCCGCGUGACAUCGAGAGAGGCCUGCUUCCCAUUGAGUGCAACAUGGAAAAAGCCACCGUUAGCUCCCACCGGCCAGGGCGGUCCAAUGAGAAUACUUCAUUCAAAUGGAAGAAAGCGGCUGGUGACUCUCCGAACCAAGAAGACAAGCCUUCCCCCAGCAAAGCGGGACCCCACCGGGCAGAGAGAGGGGGGUCCCGGUCCCAAAGCCCCUCUCGCGUGUCCGUGCUCCUGGAGGCCUGGGAGAAGGGCCUUGUGGGGACGGACGCCCUCGACUCGCCGUCUUCCACGGAACUCCGGCGCUCCACAUCCACCGUGCACAGCAGGCGCUUGUGCUUCUCCAAAGAGGCUUCCCAACCCCGUUUCCCAACAAAUGCCAAGAGUCCUGUUUCGCCGAACGGGGACGGCAGGAGAUCCGUUUCCCCGGCUGGGGCCAAGAGAUGCUUUUCUCCGGCCGAGAACCGGCGCCCGCUUUCUCCGACAGAUCCAAAGCGGUCCCGGUCUCCGGCAGAAGCCAGGCGAGCCCUUUCUCCGGUCAACGCCAGGCAGACCCUUCCCACGAUAGAAAGCAGGAGGUCCUUUUUCCUAGAAGAAGCCAAGAAGGCCAUGGCCGAGGUAGAACCCAGGCCUUCCUUUUCCCGGGCAGAGAAGAGGCGCUCUCGUCCUCCGUCAGAUACCCGGCGCUCUCCUUCGCCAGCCCGGACCCGGCGCUCCCAUUCUCCGGCCAACGUCAGGCGAGCUCCGUCUCCAUCAAACACCAGGUAUGCUGGAGAUGCUCGCUCGCGCCGGUCCUCCGGAGAUGUCCAGGGCCCACCUUCUCCAACCGAAGGCCGAUACACCUUUUCCAUGGUGGAAAGCUAUGACGCUUCCUCCCCAUCUCCAGACACCAGGUCCUUGCCUUCUGUGGCGGACAUCAGGCGCUUAUACUCCCCAGGAAAUGCCAAGCACUCAGCGGAUGGUGGACCGUUGUCUUCUUCAGCCUCUACUCGGUGCUCGUCCUCCCUGGUUGAGAGAAGGCACUUGUCCACCUCCACCGAAGCCAAAGACUCCUCUUCUCUGUCGGAUCCCAAAUGGCCAUUUCCCGCUGCAGAAGCCACCGGCGUUGAUGCCAAGUUCUCGUGUUCUCUGGCCGAUAGCAAGCGCUCCCCGUCUCCGAAUGAGUCUAGAAGUUUUGCUCCCAUUUCCCAGUGCGGGAAGCUUUCCCGUUCCCUUAGCCCUCAGAAAGAUUGCACAACCCACGGGCCGGUCUACGCGCAAGUGUAUUCCCCGGAGCCGAAGCCAAAUCUCCUGGUAACAACAAAAAAGAAAGAGACAAAUGACGCAACGGUGUCCCAAGGAGAAAACCAUGCUGGUGGCGGUGGUGCUACUAACACCUUCCUGGAGAGAGAGCUGCACAUCGCAAACGGAUCCCAGGAGGAAAAUAUUUCUGGCAUCCAGAAAAACGAUGCGUCAAAUAGUGCCGGCUCCGCUCCAGGAUCGUUCAACGCUACGAACACGCAACCAUCUGCGGGGCCUUGCGUGUUGAGUCCCUUGCCCCGUGUUGUCAGCUCCAGCACUGUCGCCAGAUCGCAGACCCAGUGGUAUUCUCCCAAGAGCGGCAACAUGGUUGUUUAUAGAUCCGAAAGGCAACUCAUUGUACCGCAAGGCGGGACUGCUACCGUCUACAGAGCCGGGCGAGAGAUUGUCAUGUCCAGCUCCGCGACAGGAAGCGGGAGCAAAUCCAAGCAAGAGAACACCUUUGCCUCCCGUUCCGUCGUCGCAAGCGUUCCGCCCAACGAAAACAGCCAACCCCAGGAGGGUGUCCCUGAGACCGAGCCGCCACAAAACAUCUCCACAUCCUUCUCAGAUGCUUGUAACCAUACUACAAGUUCGCAGCCAGAAAGCAGCGUGACUCAAUCCAGAAAUGCCGGCGUGAGCGAUGCCCAGAGGGAAAGGUGUACGUUCACAUCAAACGGAGAUGCUGCCACCACGUUUGGGGAGGGAGUUGCUCCUCCGCGAGACUACAGCCGGAACAUCAAGCCUGUCUUCAGGACACACGGGAGCUUGUUUGCAGAGAGCGCCAUGGCAAAUGGGACGGCACAAGACAGGCAUGCAUCACGGGGGGAGAUGGCCACGUUAUCUGGAGGUCAGGACAUUCUUCUAGAGAACAAGAAACUCACCAGGUGGACUGAGAUAACCGAAGAACAACGAGGCCCAAGGAAAGAUCCACAGGUAUUUACACCACAACCAAGCACAAUGUUGGCGGAGACCACAACCUCCUCCCAGAAACCUCAUGGAAACAGCAACCGGGCGGCAGAAUCGGAACCAGAGGAGUAUGUGGACAUGGACCUGUUUGUGGACACUCUCCGUAACAUGGGACCUGCCGAAUGUCGAAAGGCUUUGAAGCACCUGCCCCGGUCUCCCCGGCUCUCCUCUCUGGCACGCAACACGUCUCUUCCUCCCAUCCACGAAGACCACAUCACACUAAGGUCACAGGUGCCUCCCGCGUCCGUUCCCGGAGAGUUGCUUGCCAUCACCGAAGAGAAGACCUCCGAAGAAAGAGAGGGGCUCAAGUACAACGAAGAAGAAGCGACGGAGGAAAUCGAGAACCCUUAUCUCAGCAUGGACGAGCACAGCGAAGACCAGGCCCGGAUGUUCUACCCUUGGGAAAGCCGGACGUUCAGGAACGAAGAGGAAUUUGGCUCUUUCCUGGGCAAGUUGCACCAAGGACCCGGGGAUCCGGAAAUGACCGUCAUGGGCCCCAAUGUCGUCUUGACCAACCAGAACAACAUGAUCAGGUCCAACGUCCUCAAAGGGGUCUCUCUCCUGUCCGGCCUCCCUGACAAGAAGGCGGCCGACGACAACAAGCCUUAUUCCCGCCUGGACAACAGCCUCCUCUACAGCAGGUUCAUCUCUCCGGAGAAGUCCCAGUUCAGGGAUGCCAUGAAAGGCCAGGAGAUGCGGUGCCCUAUCGUUUUGAUGAACCCGGCCAACCCAAAGGAAUGCCAGGCCUUCUCAAGUGGGGCUCGGAUGGACAAUGCUUACGAACUUCGGAGCGCUGAGCUGCCACAGCCUGUGGUGCGAGUGGAGCCUUCCUACCGGGUGCUGGGAGCAAGCUGGAACGCCAAGGAGAUGGCCACUCGCUCCAAGGCCACAGAGUCCACGUCCCGGCCAGAUGUUCAGGUGAGCCAAUGUAUGUUGUGUAAGGAGUAA